rnacentral:rRNA from 1 species
AACGAACGCUGGCGGCGCGCCUAAUACAUGCAAGUCGAGCGAGAAGACGUAGCAAUACGUUUGUAAAGCGGCGAACGGGUGAGGAAUACAUGGGUAACCUACCCUCGAGUGGGGAAUAACUAGCCGAAAGGUUAGCUAAUACCGCGUACGCUUCUUGGACUUCGGUUCAGGGAGGAAAGCGAUACCGUGGGUAUCGCGCUCUUGGAUGGGCUCAUGUCCUAUCAGCUUGUUGGUGAGGUAACGGCUCACCAAGGCUUCGACGGGUAGCUG